UCCUCUCAUCCCCUUCUGUUUUCUCCUUUAAUUUUGCCUUCGACAUUCCAAGCUUCCUCCAUUCAGCUUUCAAGUUUUCCCCCUCCAAUCUUCACUUACCCUAUUUAGAUUUGUUGCCUUUGCAUCGAUACAUUUGCCUUUCUCCUUUAUUCUUUUCGUCUCACCCUCUCUUCUGGUAGCUUUGCCUUAAGGUUCUGAGCUUCCUCCGAUUAAGAUUUCAUGCCUUUCCACCCUGAUCUCUACUUCCUCUGUUUAGAUUCAAAUGCAAAUGUAAAUGUGCAUUUCAUUCUUUAUGCUUAUCGGCCAGCUUUUGGUGAUUCUAGAUCAACUUAUUGAUUUUGACUCCCAGCUUACAGUGAUCUAGUACUCUUCAUCAUCCUCUCAUCUGGUCAUUUGACGGCUUUCAAGUGAAGUAUUGUCCAAAAUAUAACAAGCAUCUCAGCCAUUUCUCUACUUGCGAGGCGUAUGGGAAAAUGAUUGGAAGCUUUCUCCUGAAAAUUAACUCUCUUUGUAUGAUGUUUGAAAAUGUAGAUCCAUUCCCUGAAAAAGAAAUUGAAGACAUUCAUGUACGUUGGGUAACUUACUUUGCAAAGAGUUUGUGAGCUUAGAUAUAAUUUUAGACCAUUUUAAUAAGUUUGUUUGUUCUAGACAAGUUUCAGAUACCUAGUGAAUAGUUUUAGAUAGUUAAUUGUGACAAUUUUAAUUGUCACAAAUUUUGAAUGGAUAGUUGA